ACUCACGAAUGACAACAUUUCAAUUCAAUACUAACAUUGUAACAUUCAACGUUAUAUAUAUACGUCAGUAGGGAAUGGAUUGGAGGGGAUGUCGAGGUGAAUGCCGUUGGGGAUUCUCUGAUUCCGUGCUCAUUCGAAUCCCGUGGAUCUACAGGGAGCGGACUCCGAAAAUCACAAUAUGCCUAUUCCGAGCAUAACCUAAGCUAAACGGCACAAUCAUACUUAGGGGGUACCCGAAAGUACUAGGGGCUUUCAUCUGUGUGUUCCAAAAAUAUCACGGGCGUGAGGUCUUGAGAUGGAAGUCGACCCACACGAUUCUGUACCCACCCUGCCAUGAUUUUCAGUGGUGCGAAGGUUCUGGAAAUCCCUAGACUUCUCCCCCUACCCCAUUACGUCACCAUGUCACUAGAAAAUUAUAUGUCUAAUUCGAUAUUCACGGCUAACAAAAUUCAAUAUAUUAAUACUCGGUACUUAA